GAUGAACGCUGGCGGCGUGCCUAAUACAUGCAAGUCGAGCGAACAGACGAGGAGCUUGCUCCUCUGACGUUAGCGGCGGACGGGUGAGUAACACGUGGAUAACCUACCUAUAAGACUGGGAUAACUUCGGGAAACCGGAGCUAAUACCGGAUAAUAUAUUGAACCGCAUGGUUCAAUAGUGAAAGACGGUUUUGUUGUCACUUAUAGAUGGAUCCGCGCCGCAUUAGCUAGUUGGUAAGGUAACGGCUUACCAAGGCAACGAUGCGUAGCCGACCUGAGAGGGUGAUCGGCCACACUGGAACUGAGACACGGUCCAGACUCCUACGGGAGGCAGCAGUAGGGAAUCUUCCACAAUGGGCGAAAGCCUGACGGAGCAACGCCGCGUGAGUGAUGAAGGUCUUCGGAUCGUAAAACUCUGUUAUUAGGGAAGAACAAAUGUGUAAGUAACUAUGCACGUCUUGACGGUACCUAAUCAGAAAGCCACGGCUAACUACGUG
rnacentral:rRNA from 1 species